CGGAGCUUGUAAGGGCGUAUAGUGGAUGCCUUGACACAAAGUAGCGAUGAAGGACGCGACGUAGCUGCGAUAAGCUUCGGGGAGGUGUGUAGUAACCUACGAUCCGGAGAUUUCCGAAUGGGGCAACCCCUCCGACUGAACGUCGGAGACUCUGACACAUAAGAGGUCAGUUGAGCAUACCUGGGGAAGUAAAACAUUUCAGUACCCAGAGGAAAUGAGAACGAACGUUAUUCCCUUAGUAGCGGCGAGCGAAGAGGGAGAAGCCCAAACCAGAGAUCUUUUAUUUUUUACAAUUGAGAUCUGUGGAGUUGUAAGAUAGAAAUUUUCUGUUUCUUACGAACAUCGCAUAGUGGAUGUUCGUAAGAGAUGGAGGAGAGUCAAAAAUUCAUUUGCUAGUCGAGUAGACUGGAAAGUCUGACCAAAGAGGGUGAUAGUCCCGUAGGCGAAAGCUAAUGAACUCUCUGUUUCUAGUCAUGUUUACAUGACCUAGUCUUGAGUACCUCGACACACUAAAGUGUUGUGGGAAUUUGCCCGAACUAUCGGGUAAGGCUAAAUAUACUUUGUGAUCGAUAGUGAACCAGUACCGUGAGGGAAAGGUGAAAAGUAGCCCGGUGAGGGCGGUGAAAUAGACCUGAAACUAUAUGCCUACGAGGAGUGGGAGCCCGUUACUCUUGGACUUCGGUUCAAGAGGGGGUGACCGCGUGCCUAUUGAAGAAUGAACCAACGAGUUUGUGUGUGUUGCAAGUUUAAGUCCCAAUGGGAUGGAAACGAAGCGAAAGCUAGUGUUAAUAGCGCGAUAAAACCGCUACUUUGCGCUUAGGCGCGAAGUAGCGGUUUGGUAGUAGCACGUACAAGACCCGAAGCCAGGCGAUCUUACCUUGGCCAGGAUGAACCCCGCCGAAAGGUGGGGGGAGGUCCGCACCAGUAGAUGACGCAAAGUCUUUGGAUGAGCUGAGGUACGCAGUGAAAAGCUAAUCGAGCUUGGUAAUAGCUGGUUCUCUCCGAAACAGUUUUAGGACUGGCGUCGUAUGAUUCCCCUCGGGGGUAGAGCACUGGAUGGUGUGAACAGGGCGCAAGCUCAUCACACCAAUCAAACUCCGAAUACCGAGAGGUUCAGUACGGCAGUUAGACUGUGGGGGCUAAGCUCCAUGGUCAAAAGGGAAACAGCCCUGAUCGUAAUCUAAGGUCCCAAAAUGCUUGUUAAGUGUGAAAGGUUGUGAUUCGCCAUAGACAGAUAGGAGGUUGGCUUAGAGGUAGCCACCCUUAAAAGAAAGUGUAACAACUCACUAUUCGACGGCGAGUUGCGCCGAAGAUUCACGGGGCUAAACAAGCUACCGAAGAUACGGAUUUCACCAACGUUCGCGUUGGUGGAGUGGUAGGAGAGCAUUCCCAGGGCACUGAAGCCUGACCGGUAACGGCGGGUGGAGCGCUGGGAAGAGAGAAUGUUGGUAUGAGUAACCGCAAAUUCGGUGAGAAACCGGAUCCCCGAAAAUCCAAGGUUUCCGUGGCAAUGUCAAUCAUCCACGGGUUAGGCGAGCCUAAGGCGAUAGCGAAAGCUGUAGCCGAUGGACAGCUGGUCAACAUUCCAGCCCGCCGACAUAAUUCGAUGAAGGGACGGAGCAAAUAAGGAAGAGUGCGUUAAUGGUUUCGCAUCGCUUAUUCCAAGAGCCGCAGUCAUGGUAAGUCCGGACUGCUAUCUUUAAUGAUGAGGUUCGGGAAUCGGCGGAAGGUCAGGUUUUUGCCUGAUCAACUUUUCUGAAUAGGCUUCCAAGAAAAACUUCUAAGAUUAAUUAUGUCGGCCCCGUACCGCAAACCGACACAGGUGGAUAGGGCGAGUAGCCCAAGGGGAACGAGUGAUUCCUCGCUAAGGAACUCGGCAAUCAAGCGGCCGUAACUUAGGAAUAAGGCCUGGCCGACCUCGGUCGGCCCGCAGCGAAAGUUUUUCUGGCGACUGUUUACUAAAAACACAGGUCCCUGCUAACACGUAAGUGGAUGUAUAGGGGCUGACGCCUGACCGAUGCGGGAAGGUUAAUCCUGGGAGUGCCCGGCACUUUGUACUCGAAAUUUCGAAUACAAAGUGCUGGGUGCCCACUGGGUGAAGCCCCCGUCAAUGUCAGCGGUAACUAUAACCGUUCUAAGGUAGCGCAAUUCCUUUCCGGGUAAGUUCCGGAGCGCACGAAAGGCGUAACGACUAGAAAGCUGUCUCAGCGAGGAGCUCGGUGAAAAUGCAAUACCCGUGAAGAUGCGGGUUACCUGCAGUGGGACGAGAAGACCCCGGGAGCUUUACUGGAGCUUGGUAUUGUCUUUAGUGUCCGAAUGCGUAGCGUAGUGGGGAGACUUUGAAGCAUGGAUUUCGGUCCGUGUGGAGUCGCCAAUGAAACACCCAUCUUUUGAACGUUAAAGUCUAACCUUAAGGGCAAAAACCUUAUGGAACAGUGCCUGGCGGACAGUUUACAUGGGGCGUGUUCCUCCUAAAGAGUAACGGAGGAGUUUAUUAAGGUCAGCUUAGUCCGGAUGGAAAUCGGACUGGACGUAUAAAGGCACAAGCUGGCUUGACUGCAAGACUUACAAGUCGCGCAGGUGCGAAAGCAGAACUUAGCGACCCGACGGUCCUUUAUAGGACGGCCGGAGACAACGGAUAAAAGCUACCCCGGGGAUAACAGGCUGGUACCGCCCAAGAGUCCAUAUCGACGGCGGUGUUCGGCACCUCGAUGUCGGCUCACCCUAUCCUGGGGCUGAAGCAGGUCCCAAGGGUUUGGCUGUUCGCCAAUUAAAAGGGUACGCGAGCUGGGUUUAGACCGUCGUGAGACAGGUUGGUCUUUAUCUACUGUAGGCGUAUAACGUUUGAGAGAGGUUGACCCUAGUACGAGAGGACCGGGUUGAACGAACCUCUGGUCUAUCGGCUUUGCUACCAAGUGAACUGCCGAGUAGCUAUGUUCGGACGGGAUAAGCGCUGAAAGCAUCUAAGUGCGAAACCCAUCUCAAGAUUAGACGUAGGUCCCUGGAAGACUACCAGGUUGAUAGGCUCUAGGUGCAAGCACGGCAACGUGUUUAGCCAAGGAGUACUAAUAGACCGUUA
rnacentral:rRNA from 1 species